rfam:Medicago truncatula strain A17 unplaced genomic scaffold scaffold0034, whole genome shotgun sequence.
AUGUAGUGUGACAUGCCCGUUUGGGUUUUACUCUGAUUGCUGAGAUAUUAUUAUUUAGUUGAUUUUGGGAAACGGGGUGUUACAGCUUGA